rnacentral:rRNA from 1 species
ACGGAAGGCAGCAGUGGGGAAUAUUGGGCAAUGGGCGAAAGCCUGACCCAGCGACGCCGCGUGAGGGAAGACGGUCUUCGGAUUGUAAACCUUAGUCAACAGGGAAGAAAGCAAUGACGGUACCUGUGGAGGAAGCCACGGCUAACUACGUGCCAGCAGCCGCGGUAAUACGUAGGUGGCAAGCGUUAUCCGGAUUUACUGGGUGUAAAGGGUGUGUAGGCGGGGAGGCAAGUCAGAUGUGAAAACUAUGGGCUCAACUCAUAGCUUGCAUUUGAAACUGUUUUUCUUGAGGAUCGGAGAGGUAAAUGGAAUUCCCAGUGUAGCGGUGAAAUGCGUAGAUAUUAGGAGGAACACCAGUGGCGAAGGCGGCUUGCUGGACGACAACUGACGCUGAGGCGCGAAAGCGUGGGGAGCAAACAGGAUUAGAUACCCUGGUA